rnacentral:rRNA from 1 species
GGUUCGAUCAUGGCUCAAGAUUGAACGCUGGCGGGAUGCUUUACAUGCAGGUCGAACGGCAGCACGGACUUCGGUCUGGUGGCGAGUGGCGAACAGGUGGUAAUGUAUCGGAACGUGCCUAGUAGCAGGGGGAUAACUACGCGAAAGCGUAGCUAAUGCCACAUACGCCCUUCGGGGAAAGCGAGACCUUCGGGCCUCACUUGCUAAUGGAAAACGACCGAUAUCGGAUUAGCUGGUUGGUGGGGAGUAACGGCUCACCAGGGGCGACGAUCCGUAGCUGGUUUGAGAGGACGACCAGCCACACUGGGACUGAGACACGGCCCAGCAGACUCCUGCACGGGAGGCAGCAGUGGGAAUUUUGGACAAUGGGGAAACCCUGAUCCAGCCAUCCCGCGUGCGAUGAAGGCCUUCGGGUUAUGCUUUUGGCAGGAAAGAAACGGCACGGGAUAAUACCCCGUGCAACUGACGGUACCUGCAGAUCAUACCAGCUAACUACAUUACCUGGCGAAAAGCCGCGAAGUAAUACGCCGGGGUACAAGCGUUAAUCGGAAUUACUGGGCGUAAAGCGUGCGCAGGCGGUUCGGAAGAAAGAUGUGAAAUCCAGAGCUUAACUUUGGAACUGCAUUUUUAACUACCGAGCUAGAGUGUGUCAGAGGAGGUGGAAUUCCGCGUGUAGCAGUGAAAUGCGUAGAUAUGCGGAGGAACACCGAUGGCGAAAACAGCCUCUGGGAUAACACUGACGCUCAUGCACGAAAGCGUGGGAGCAAACAGGAUUAGAUGCCCUGGUAGUCCACGCCUAAACGAUGUCAACUAGCUGUUGGGGGCCUUCGGGCCUUGGUAAUACCAGCUAACGCGUGAAGUUGACCGCCUGGGAAGUACGGUCGCAAGAUUAAAACUCAAGGAAUUGACGGGGACCCGCACAAGCGGUGGAUGAUGUGGAUUAAUUCGAUGCAACGCGAAAAACCUUACCUACCACCCUUGACAUGUCUGGAAUCCCGAAGAGAUUUGGGGAGUGCUCGCAAGAAACCGGAACACAGGUGCUGCAUGGCUGUCGUCAGCUCGUGUCGUGAGAUGUUGGGUUAAGUCACAACGAGAGCGCAACCCUUGUCGGUAGUUGCUGUGAAAGGGCACUCCUAAUGAGACUGCCGGUGACAAACCGGAGGGAAGGUGGAUGACGUCAAAUCACCAUGGCCCUUAUGGGUAGGGCUUCACACGUCAUACAAUGGUCGGGACAGAGGGUCGCCAGCCCGCGAGGGGGAGCCAAUCCAGAAGCCCGAUCGUAGUCCGGAUCGCAGUCUGCAACUCGACUGCGUGAAGAGUCGGAAUCGCUAGUAAUCGCGGAUCCAGCAUGUCGCGGUGGUCACGUUCCCGGGUCUUGUACACCGCCCGUCACACCAUGGGAGUGGGUUUUACCAGAAGUAGUUAGCCUAACCGUAAGGAGGGCGAUUUUCUGACAGGAUUCAUGACUGGGGUGAAGUCAUGCUCAGGUAG